GACGAACGCUGGCGGCGUGCCUAAUACAUGCAAGUAGAACGCUGAAGGAGGAGCUUGCUCUUCUGGAUGAGUUGCGAACGGGUGAGUAACGCGUAGGUAACCUGCCUGGUAGCGGGGGAUAACUAUUGGAAACGAUAGCUAAUACCGCAUAACAUUGACUAUUGCAUGAUAGUCAAUUGGAAGGUGCAAAUGCACCACUACCAGAUGGACCUGCGUUGUAUUAGCUAGUUGGUGGGGUAACGGCUCACCAAGGCGACGAUACAUAGCCGACCUGAGAGGGUGAUCGGCCACACUGGGACUGAGACACGGCCCAGACUCCUACGGGAGGCAGCAGUAGGGAAUCUUCGGCAAUGGACGGAAGUCUGACCGAGCAACGCCGCGUGAGUGAAGAAGGUUUUCGGAU
rnacentral:rRNA from 1 species